UCAGUGGAGCAGAAGAAAAAAGGAAAGCAGGAAGCAACAUGAAGUGAAGAAGUGAGAGGAUUAGCUCCAGUUUUCCCUUAGGGGACAAUUUUUUUUUAUUUUAUGUUAUUUUAUUAUAUUUUAUUUUUGUACUUUUGACGGAGUUAUUUGGGAGGAAGCAAAGUUGCGUAGGAUUCUAAAUUGACUUUCAUUCACAAAGUCAGGACCCACCAGAAGCUGCGAAGGGUGUCGAGUGUGCGUGAGCUGAGAGGUUUGCCAACCCUAUCGGAGCGCCAGACUAUCUAAACGGGACUUUGUCUGCCAGUCCAAAGCGAACCUUCAACCAGAGGUAAGACAAGGCUGUUGGUCUGAAACCUUGCAAAGUACCCAAGAAGUCUGAAGACGGCUUCGGUGAGCUACGCUGAACACCACGGUGGAGGAAGCUUAGGAUGGACUGAUGGAUGAUUGGGAUGGACCAUACAGCUUUGAUGACCUUGGAGUUAAACCAGAACAUGUUGAAGUACCCCAAGUGACCCUGCAGCGACACCUGGUCGAGGAGAACAUGGCAAUGUUCCCAUAGAUGCAGUCAGUGUCUAUACAGAGACAAUGCAGCAGCUGAUGCAGUGACCACCUGAACUGGAUGAUUUCAGAUCAGUUCAGUAUGUGAAAAUGCUUGAAAAAUCAGGAAGCUCAACAGAUAAUGUUUAACUGUCUUUAUUACCUGAACUAACAUUAUAAACUUUUGUCAAAACAUUGCAUUGAAAUGCCUUAUGUGAACUUGUCCUUACUCUGAUACUUUAAUACCUCUCAAAAGCCAUUUUAAAGGAACAUGAAAAUUCAACCUCAAAUUAAUAUAACGCCAACCUCUGCUGUUUGGUCUGGUUAAUGAUCUCCAUGAUGCGUGCAGCAGGGGUUCUCUCAGCAGGUUGUGCAUCGAGCUGCCCUGGAUGUUGAUGAGGUCACUGCUACUGCCACUGGGGUUGCCAUCAGAGUAUUCUUACUUGAAAACAGAAAUGAAAUAUGAUCGUCCUUUUAUGCUGAUAAUUGAACAGAGCACAGAAAAUAUCCUUUUUAUAGGAAAGAUUGUCAACCCAAACCUAAAUAACCAUUGUGGUCAGGUAUAGCUGCUGUAAUGAUCUAUAAUUAAAGGAAUACAUUGACUGACUUAAAUAAAUUGUACUUGCAGUCAUUAACAAAACAACUCAAGUUAAUGUUUAACUGUCUUUAUUCCUAGAACUAACCUUAGAUACAUUUGUCAAUAUAACAUUGCAUUGAAGUGCUUUUUGUGAACUUGUUACCGUUACUUCACCUCUCACAAGCCUUUCCAAAGUAAAAUGGAAAUUUAACUUAAUGUGUAACUGUCUUUAUUCACAGAACUAACAAAUACAUUUGUCAAUAAAACAUUGCAUUAAAAUGCUUUUUGUUGACAUAUGUCAGAGAAACUUCUUCAGAUCUGUAGGUCUAUAUCCUGCUGCAGCCAGUCCUGCCAUCGUGAAGUAACCUCAUGUUCGCAUCUUCAGCUGCAGCUCUUCAUUUCAUGUGCCUGUAAUGAAGAUGUCAAAUUAAAAGAAACAUUGGAAAACUAUUCCUUUUUACCAUGACUGUUAAUACAUGAAUGCAAUUAAUCAAACAGCUACAAUCAAACAAUUAUUUGCUCUAAAAUCAGCUGUCUUUAUGCUGCUUCUCUCAGCGUUCAUUCUUGUCUUUAAAUCUGUACAAUCUGAGCUCCAUAGAAAUAUGUGUUCUAAUAUCGACUGACGAUCAGAUUAAAACACAAAUGUUAAAUAAAAUGAUCUGUAAGAAAUAAAUGCCGUACAACACCAGAA